rnacentral:rRNA from 1 species
AGGUGCGAUCAUGCCAGCGUUAAUGCACCGGAUCCCAUCAGAAUUUCGUAGUUAAGCGCGCUUGGGCUAGAGUAGUACUAGGGAUGGGUGACCUCCUGGGAGGUCUUGGUGUUGCACCCU